rnacentral:rRNA from 1 species
GUCGCAUGAGUGGGUGGAUCAUCCUGGAAAGUGAUGUUAACGCUAGACCUAGGCAAAGGGGACCUCGUCUUUGGUCAGAUAUCGCUAGGUGAUAGCUAGUGGUGAGGUAAGGGUCACCAGGCGACGAUCCUAGCUGGUUUGGGAGGAUGAUCAGCACACUGGAACUGAGACACGGUCCAGACUCCUACGGAGGCAGCAGUGGGGAAUAAUGCACAAUGGGCGCAAGCCUGAUGCAGCCAUGCCGCGUGUGUGAGAAGGCCUUCGGGUGUAAAGCACCUUUCAGUCGUGAGGAAGGUAGUGUAGUUAAUAGCUGCAUUAUUUGACGUUAGCGACAGAAGAAGCACCGGCUAACUCCGUGCCAGCAGCCGCGGUAAUACGGAGGGUGCGAGCGUUAAUCGGAAUUACUGGGCGUAAAGCGCAUGCAGGUGGUUUGUUAAGUCAGAUGUGAAAGCCCGGGGCUCAACCUCGGAAUAGCAUUUGAAACUGGCAGACUAGAGUACUGUAGAGGGGGGUAGAAUUUCAGGUGUAGCGGUGAAAUGCGUAGAGAUCUGAAGGAAUACCGGUGGCGAAGGCGGCCCCCUGGACAGAUACUGACACUCAGAUGCGAAAGCGUGGGGAGCAAACAGGAUUAGAUACCCUGGUAGUCCACGCCGUAAACGAUGUCUACUUGGAGGUUGUGGCCUUGAGCCGUGGCUUUCGGAGCUAACGCGUUAAGUAGACCGCCUGGGGAGUACGGUCGCAAGAUUAAAACUCAAAUGAAUUGACGGGGGCCCGCACAAGCGGUGGAGCAUGUGGUUUAAUUCGAUGCAACGCGAAGAACCUUACCUACUCUUGACAUCCAGAGAACUUUCCAGAGAUGGAUUGGUGCCUUCGGGAACUCUGAGACAGGUGCUGCAUGGCUGUCGUCAGCUCGUGUUGUGAAAUGUUGGGUUAAGUCCCGCAACGAGCGCAACCCUUAUCCUUGUUUGCCAGCGAGUAAUGUCGGGAACUCCAGGGAGACUGCCGGUGAUAAACCGGAGGAAGGUGGGGACGACGUCAAGUCAUCAUGGCCCUUACGAGUAGGGCUACACACGUGCUACAAUGGCGCAUACAGAGGGCGGCCAACUUGCGAAAGUGAGCGAAUCCCAAAAAGUGCGUCGUAGUCCGGAUUGGAGUCUGCAACUCGACUCCAUGAAGUCGGAAUCGCUAGUAAUCGUGGAUCAGAAUGCCACGGUGAAUACGUUC